rnacentral:rRNA from 1 species
UCCACGCCGUAAACGAUGUCUACUAGCUGUUCGUGUCCUUGUGAUGUGAGUAGCGCAGCUAACGCACUAAGUAGACCGCCUGGGGAGUACGGUCGCAAGAUUAAAACUCAAAUGAAUUGACGGGGGCCCGCACAAGCGGUGGAGCAUGUGGUUUAAUUCGACGCAACGCGAAGAACCUUACCUACUCUUGACAUCUACGGAAGUUGGCAGAGAUGCUGAUGUGCCUUCGGGAACCGUAAGACAGGUGCUGCAUGGCUGUCGUCAGCUCGUGUUGUGAAAUGUUGGGUUAAGUCCCGCAACGAGCGCAACCCCUAUCCUUAGU